GGGGUGUAGUUGAAGAUAACUUUGUCUUCUGCUGGCCCCUUGCAGGUGUGGCUGGCACCCUUGCCAAAAGAGGAGUAUCCCAUCUGAGAACAGCUACUUUCUUUCCCAAACAUCUUCAAGGUCUCCAACGGGAAUAAAUUCUCUAGGGGGAGUCAGAGCCAGGAGGAGAGUACCCUGCUGCUAACGAGGUCCGUGCAGCACAGGCAGCGGCAGCACAGGCGGCGGACACCAGGACUCGCUGUUCCUUUUUCCUAUGCAUAUACCUCUUUGAGAUCUAGCAUUAAAGAGGCAUGGCGUAUGGGAAAAUGGGGCUGUAGAGGUAAUCUGCUGGGCUACCCCCCAUCCCUCUCUGCCGUCCUACGACAGCGCCCCACCUGCAGCAGGCUCAACCCCAUGCAAAACCCCCUGGAGCUCCAUCGUUUCAUCGAUUGACUCUUCACUUUAAAACAGGCUCUGUUUUCGUGUCAAUGCCCAUGCUGUUCAUUUCCUUUUUCAUUGCAAUAUUCAGUGUUUUCCUUAAAAUAUUAUGUUUGUCUUGUUUCUGUUUACUUAUUUUAUUUUGAAAAAUUAAGGAUAAGAACAGAGAAAGCAUAUUUCAUGUUUAAAGCAGCUGUGCAUCAGAUAUGUAAUCAAUAAUACUUUCACUGCUUACUGUUUUUUCACCCAUUUCUGUAAUCAGUACAUCCUACUUGAUGUAUCCAGUUCUGUUUAUUUGAGUAUGUGGCAUCUCCAAUAAAAUUGUUUUCUACAGUA